ensembl:snRNA U6 U6 spliceosomal RNA
UUGCUUUGGCAGCAGGAAUACUAAAAUUGGGAUGAUACAGAGAAGAUUAGCAUGGCCUCUGCAGAAGGACGAUAUAUACAAAUUCAUGAAGAAUAAACUCUUGUU